rnacentral:lncRNA from 8 species
AUGGUAUUGCGCCGUCCCAACCUUCGCUCUCUCUCUCCCGCUACUCUCUCCUCUUCCAUCCUAUCAUCUCUUCCCUCUGCUCAAACCUUCUCCAACCUAUCUCCUGAUUCUGCCUCCUCAACCCUCCUCUCCUCCCUCUCUGCAUCCUUUGAUUUCCUCUGUCCCCUAUCCUCCAGGCCGGCUCGGUCCUCCCCUCCUGCUCCGUGGCUCGACGACUCACUGCGAGCUCACAGAACAGGGCUCCGGGCAGCCGAGCGGAAAUGGAGGAAAACUCGCCUCCCUGCGGACCUGGCAUCCUUUCACUCCCUCCUCUCUACAUUUUCCUCUUCUGUCUCUGCUGCUAAAGCCACUUUCUACCACUCUAAACUCCAAGCAUCUGCCUCUAACCCUAGGAAGCUCUUUGCUACCUUCUCCUCCCUCCUUAAUCCUCCUCCCCCUCCCCCCCCCUCCUCCCUCUCUGCGGAUGACUUCGUCAACCAUUUUGAAAAGAAGGUUGACGACAUCCGAUCCUCGUUUGCUAAGUCAAACGACACUGCUGGUCCUGCUCACACUGCCCUACCCUGUGCUUUGACCUCUUUCUCCCCUCUCUCUCCAGAUGAACUCUCGCGUCUUGUGACGGCCGGCCGCCCAACAACCUGCCCACUUGACCCUAUCCCCUCCUCUCUUCUCCAGACCAUUUCCGGAGACCUUCUCCCCUACCUCACCUCGCUCAUCAACGCAUCCUUGACCGCUGGCUACGUCCCUUCCGUCUUCAAGAGAGCGAGAGUUGCACCCCUUCUGAAAAAACCUACACUCGAUCCCUCCGAUGUCAACAACUACAGGCCAGUAUCCCUUCUUUCCUUUCUCUCCAAAACUCUUGAACGCGCCGUGCUUGGCCAGCUCUCUUGCUAUCUCUCUCAGAAUGACCUUCUUGAUCCUAAUCAGUCAGGUUUCAAGACUGGGCAUUCAACUGAGACUGCUCUUCUCUGUGUCACGGAGGCUCUCCGCACUGCUAAAGCUAACUCUCUCUCCUCUGCUCUCAUCCUUCUAGACCUAUCUGCUGCCUUUGAUACCGUGAACCAUCAGAUCCUCCUCUCCACCCUCUCCGAGCUGGGCAUCUCCGGCACCGCGCACGCUUGGAUUGCGUNNNNNNNNNNNNNNNNNNNNGACACCUGA